GACGAACCGUGCGAACGUUGUUCGGAAUCACUGGGCUUAAAGGGCGCGUAGGCGGGCUAUCAAGUCCGGGGUGAAAUCCUCCAGCUUAACUGGAGAACGGCCUCGGAUACUGAUGGUCUCGAGGAGGAUAGGGGCACACGGAACUGUGGGUGGAGCGGUGAAAUGCGUUGAUAUCCAUAGGAACUCCGGUGGCGAAAGCGGUGUGCUGGAUCCUUUCUGACACUGAGGCGCGAAAGCCAGGGGAGCAAACGGG
rnacentral:rRNA from 1 species